AGAGAGGGGACCUGAUGGUGCGGGAGGUGGAAGAACUGGAUGCCCAUUUCCUCAGCUCCAUGUUUCAAGGCCCACUGCUGACUCCCCAGACACUGCUGGCACGCCUGUUGGUGGUGGCAGGGAGCCCUUUUGCAGGCAGCGAACUCCAAGCCGCUGCCUUGCUGCUCAUGCAAAACCUCCACAGCAGGAUCCACAGAGCUGUGGGGGCCAUGUGGGCCGCUGAGAUCCCCCUGCUGCUGCAGUGCCUCCAAGGGAAAGAUGAGAGCUUCCCGGACUCUGCAGAGUGGGAGCAGCACCUACUAAAGGUACAGCAUUGCCGGAAGGCACGGUGCAGAGAAGUGUCUGCCUGUCUCAAGGAGCCCCGUUCCCAUAGAAAACAGGAACAGCCUCUCAAAUGCUGCUGCGGAGCGGCCGCGCGCCUUUGUGCUGCUGC
ensembl:lncRNA